UUGCCUUUAUUUUGAAUACUUUGUAAUGAAACUUUCCUAAGGCAUUCUCCCUUACCUGCCACCAUGCACGGUGUAGGCAGAACUCUUGGAAUCUCUUCUUGGUAGGCCAGGAUCAGGUGUAUGGAAACACCCAUAGGGCUGAAUUCUGCACCAAUGGCAAUGUCCUCAGGGAUUAAAACCACAUUCAGACUGCUGGUUUUUUGAGUUCUUUUAUCAGAAGUGAUGUAAUUUCUGAAAAAGCAAAACAACAAGAAGAUAAGUGGAAAAGGCUCAAAGGCCGCUAAUGAGUGGGAAAAUUGGCCAGUGGCUAAAAGCCAAGUGCCUUCUUGCAACUAAAAAGCCUUGAUUAUUUUUCUGCUGCUGAAGGAGGCAGAACAGAACAUCUACACUUACCUCCUGAGUAGCUUUCUCACAAGCCUGUGAGAUGUUCUGUUCUACCUUCUUGACUGGCAGGAACAUGAAGAGGCAGACACAUGUGAACUUUAGGAGCAUCUGUCUACUGGUGUGUUCCAUGGGGCCUCCCACUGCAGUUGCUGCAUAGCCCAGUAGCAAUAUUAGAACACAACAUGAAAGAAUAUGAUGAAUCCAUCCCUUGUUUGUGCAUCAGGGAUCCACUGUGAAAAAAUCUUGUAAUCCAAGGUGAGUGUCCCCAUUGUUGUUAGUAAGCAAAGUUCUGCUUUCCUUAUCCCUUUAGAAAAGUAGUCUAAAUUCUACUCUUUACCCUUCAAUUUCUGAUACUCAUAUAUCUCCAUUGUUCAUGAAAAAUUUUC
rnacentral:lncRNA from 1 species